GUGACCAAUGUCUGGGAUGAAAAGUUUUUCUUUUCAGCAUCACGAGUCAUUUCCACUGAUCUUACCAUCACAGGUUCUGCUUUUUAAUCACUGACCUCAGGAGAAGCUUUGCAGGAUGAGGUUAUUAUGGGACUGGACACCUUGAGUCACUUGGGGGUUUUUCUCCUUCAGAGAUGGACGCCUGCUUCAAUGUGUCAUAGUACAUUUUGAUGGCCCUGUAACACAGAGAAAAGACCUGAUAAUUUACUGCACAGGCAAGAGCAAACACCUAUCAAUGCUGUCUUGAAUACACCCCCUUUCUGAACAACAGACUGUUGGCUUAUGUUAGAUACCACUGUGAAAUGGAUCCUCAGGGGUGAAGCUCUUGGAGCAGCGGCUUGUGAAGGGGAGCAGCCCUGUGCAGCACCAUACAACGAGGUGAUGUACUGCAACAUGUAGAGGCCACUGCUCCUUCUCAUCCUGCCUCAUCAUUGUGACUUCUGCCCAAAGGUGUGUGUAGAGUGUGCCAGCAUAUUUGCACUGUGAUACAAGGAGAGACAAGACAAAACAUGAGUUCCUUGCAGAAGCCAGGCAAGAGAGGCUCUGACUGAGGUCUGAGCUGCAUAUUGUGUAAUUGUAUGUUACUCGUUAUGACCCUGUUUUUAUUGCUUGGUUCAGUCCUACAGCUCUCAGACCACGAUGCUGCCUUCCAGGAAACUUUAAAAAUAUUGUUUCCCAAAAGCUGAAGUUAGGCUAUUGUCAUAUAAAAAAUAGCUGUGGUUUAUGGUCUUGUCAAAUUAAGUUCAGCUUCAGUAAACAUGACAUGAAAUCUAUACAAGACAGCCUCACCAGUGAAUAAAAAGGCUUAUUCAUCCUAGUCAUAUAUAAAUAUCAGUAAUAUAAAAUUCUGACAAUUGUAAGAUAAUUGCAUUCACAGAAGCUUUGCACUUUCAGCCUGAUGAAAGGUGAUAAAACAUCAGUCUGUAUAUAGUUGCUUUUUGUCAUUUGCUUGUGGAGUACUUCCUUCCCACACUAAAAUUAAAAUUUAAAAGAUUUUCACUUUUGGGGAAAAGAGCAUCAUUGAAGAGAAAUUCUCCCUGGCAAAUUAAUAGAUAAGGACUGCCAUGCUAACUCAAAAAAGCAAGCAAAAGGUAAAAAUUGAAUCUCUUUAUCGCAGUUAAGUAAUUUUUCUAAACUGGGGAAGUAAUAUGGGAUGAAAUAUAUAGGACAGAUUCUCUUACAGAAAGUGCUUUUAAACUUUAAAAGAUCCAUAACUAAUAUUGGGAAUGGUUAUGAAUGACAGUCUUCUCUUUUAGAUUAUGUUGCAUUUAUUACAUUCUACCAGGACUUUAUGGAGACUCUCAUGGAAUUAAACUUAUAUUUAUGAUAAAAAUACAGAACUGCUUCUAAAUAGCAUUUUCAUCAUAUUAACUGUUGCCUAGAUAACAGGCAUAUCUCUUUGAGCACCUCUAUUCUGGUUUAGCACUACAGCUUGCAAAUUAAUACAGUCAUUAUAAGACAGCAAAGCUAUAUCACUUACCAUUUCAUUAUUGUUCAAGUCAAAAUCCAUAUUUUUUCAGUUUUCCCUAGGGUUACAAACUGGAUAGGGAAACGUUAUCAUCUUGCAGAAUAAUCUCUCAAGACUCCCUCUCUUUGGUGUUAAGAGGAGCUGUUAAUCAUAUUACAAUAAUUUUCAUAUUAAUAGGUCCCAUGUAAAGACAGAGUUAAUGCUCUCCUUCUACAUUCAA